rnacentral:rRNA from 1 species
GCAAGGUUGAAACUCAAAGGAAUUGACGGGGACCCGCACAAGCGGUGGAUGAUGUGGUUUAAUUCGACGCAACGCGAAAAACCUUACCUACCCUUGACAUGGCUGGAAUCCUGCAGAGAUGUGGGAGUGCUCGAAAGAGAACCAGCACACAGGUGCUGCAUGGCCGUCGUCAGCUCGUGUCGUGAGAUGUUGGGUUAAGUCCCGCAACGAGCGCAACCCUUGUCAUUAGUUGCUACGAAAGGGCACUCUAAUGAGACUGCCGGUGACAAACCGGAGGAAGGUGGGGAUGACGUCAGGUCAUCAUGGCCCUUAUGGGUAGGGCUACACACGUCAUACAAUGGCCGGUACAGAGGGUUGCCAACCCGCGAGGGGGAGCCAAUCCCAGAAAACCGGUCGUAGUCCGGAUCGCAGUCUGCAACUCGACUGCGUGAAGUCGGAAUCGCUAGUAAUCGCGGAUCAGCUUGCCGCGGUGAAUACGUUCCCGGGUCUUGUACACACCGCCCGUCACACCAUGGGAGCGGGUUCUGCCAGAAGUAGUUAGCCUAACCGCAAGGAGGGCGAUUACCACGGCAGGGUUCGUGACUGGGGUGAAGUCGUAACAAGGUAGCCGUAUCGGAAGGUGCGGCUGGAUCACCUCCUUUCUG